rnacentral:rRNA from 1 species
GUUGGAACAACUAUUAAUAACAAAUACGUAUAAUUUUCGCAUGAAGAUUAUAUAAAAGUAGCGUUUGCUACACUAAGAGAGCGGGGUGCGUAACAUUAGUUAGUUGGUGAGGUAAUGGCUCACCAAGACGAUGAUGUUUAGCGGGGUUGAGAGACUGAACCGCCACACUGGGACUGAGAUACGGCCCAGACUCCUACGGGAGGCAGCAGUAGGGAAUAUUCCACAAUGAACGAAAGUUUGAUGGAGCGACACAGCGUGCAGGAUGAAGGCCCUAUGGGUUGUAAACUGCUGUGGUAAGAGAAGAAAAAACCGAGGAGGAAAUGCCUUGGUCUUGACGGUAUCUUAUUAGAAAGCAACGGCUAACUAUGUGCCAGCAGCCGCGGUAAUACAUAGGUCGCAAGCGUUAUCCGACGGCUAA